rnacentral:rRNA from 1 species
GGUGAACGCUGGCGGCGUGCUUAAGACAUGCAAGUCGAACGGCAGUCUUCGGACUGUAGUGGCGCACGGGUGAGUAACGCGUAACUGACCUACCCCAAAGUCGCGGAUAACGAUUCGAAAGAAUCGCUAAUGCGUGAUGUGCUGUCAGAUUGUGUUCUGCCAGUAAAGAUUGAUUGCUUUGGGAUGGGGUUGCGUUCCAUCAGCUAGUUGGUGGGGUAAAGGCCCACCAAGGCGACGACGGAUAGCCGGCCUGUGAGGGUGGCCGGCCACAGGGGCACUGAGACACGGGUCCCACUCCUACGGGAGGCAGCAGUUAGGAAUCUUCCACAAUGGGCGAAAGCCUGAUGGAGCGACGCCGCGUGAGGGAUGAGGUCUACGGAUCGUAAACCUCUGAAUCAGGGACGAAAGACACUUCGGUGGGAUGACGGUACCUGAGUAAUAGCACCGGCUAACUCCGUGCCAGCCGCCGCCGUAAAAC